rnacentral:rRNA from 1 species
UACGGGGGGGGGCAAGCGUUGUUCGGAAUUACUGGGCGUAAAGGGCUCGUAGGCGGCCAACUAAGUCGGACGUGAAAUCCCUCGGCUUAACCGGGGAACUGCGUCCGAUACUGGAUGGCUUGAGUUCGGGAGAGGGAUGCGGAAUUCCAGGUGUAGCGGUGAAAUGCGUAGAUAUCUGGAGGAACACCGGGUGGCGAAGGCGGCAUCCUGGACCGACACUGACGCUGAGGAGCGAAAGCCAGGGGAGCAAACGGG